UGCCAGCAGCCGCGGUAAAAACAGCACCUCCAGUGGUCAGGAUGAUUAUUGGGCCUAAAGCAUCCGUAGCCGGCUCUAUAAGUUUUCGGUUAAAUCUGUACGCUCAACGUACAGGCUGCCGGGAAUACUGUAGCGCUAGGGAGUGGGAGAGGUAGACGGUACUCGGUAGGAAGGGGUAAAAUCCUUUGAUCUAUUGAUGACCACCUGUGGCGAAGGCGGUCUACCAGAACACGUCCGACGGUGAGGGAUGAAAGCUGGGGGAGCAAACCGGAUUAGAUC
rnacentral:rRNA from 1 species